CAAAGAGACGCAGCGUUCCGGGUCGUGCCAGAGAUGGGACCGUCACAGUGCUGAAACAUCACCUAUCACUAAAGGAAACACCUGGGAGCGCAUUCACAACACCUGCGUGAGCUGUAACCGCUCGGCAUAUUUCGCUUUCUCAUCCUUCAGUUGCCACUGGAACAGCGACCCUCCACCCACAGCCGGCACACUUGUUCGCUCCCCAGAGCCGCUUCACAGUGGCGGAAGGGACAGCUGUCUCCCUGCACGCAAAAGGAAACCACACGGGAAAAUAAGAGUACGGCCUGAAACGUGCCCAUGCUAUCAGCCCAGCUUGUUAGCAGCGAGCGCAGAAUCCCACCGGUUGUGAAGGUAACGCAUCAGUGGUAGGUCUCCCCCUGCUCCACCCCUUUCUCUUACGAAUGAGGACAAGGAAGAAAAUGCAGGCAAAGGAAACCCAACCAUACCUUCGUGCAGGUGGAGUAAAAAUAGAAGUAGCAGUCGACUCCUCGCUGAGACAUGAUGAAAUUCUCAGAGCAAGCUCGGCUUCAGAGGAGUUCCCUGCUCUUGGAAAGAGCCGGACGCCCUCCUUCUUGGACUGCUUGGAUCCGCAAAAUCGCCUUUCCGACCGGGACCCUGAGGAAAGGGUCAAGAACCGGAAAAGAAUGAGGAAUAAGCAUUUCCCCAGCUUUCCUUUUAUGCAAUUUAGACUCUCGAGGAGGGCAGCGUCUCGGAAGCAGCUGGUUGAAGAACUGUGCCAACUCUAGAUCCAACUUGCGUCUAACUGCCACGACCUCUCCCAGCAAGUACUGUCCUCCAUCUCACCUACAGUUACGUAACUUGCAGCACACAUUUUGCGUUCCUGUCAUGAGAAUGAAUCCAUCUUCUCCCCUUGCUGCAGCUGCAAGGGAUGCACUGGUACGACUCACGUGUUUGACGAACCUACGGUUGUGGCUUACCCAGGCACAGCUGCAGGCCUUCUCCCUUCCAGCUAACACACCAGCCCGAUGGCUGAGCAACACCGUCAGCGAGAGCGGGCAGCACCCGUCAGCCACCACCACUCUCACUGCCAGCCGGGACGAGGGCUGACGCAGCGUGUCCGCACUCCUGCGCAGCGCUCACGGCUGUGGCACUCACUGGUGGCAGCCACGGCCCGAAAGACAGUGCUUGUGAGGUCACUGUGCUUGUGAUGUCACCGGACAGUCCAUGCCCCAGCUGAGCACUUGGCUCUCCACCGUGACUCGAGUGGGGUUUUGUUAAAAAUAUGCUGGAUACGGCACAGCCAGCCAUCGGUGGGUCAAUAAAGCACAAGUUGCACUCUGUGAAGUCUGUGCUCUUCUUCCUUUGGAAUGUCU
rnacentral:lncRNA from 1 species